rnacentral:rRNA from 1 species
GAUGAACGCUGGCGGCGUGCCUAAUACAUGCAAGUCGAACGCUUCACUUCGGUGAAGAGUGGCGAACGGGUGAGUAAUACAUAAGUAACCUGGCAUCUACAGGGGGAUAACUGAUGGAAACGUCAGCUAAGACCGCUUAGGUGUAGAGAUCGCAUGAACUCUAUAUGAAAAGUGCUACGGGACUGGUAGAUGAUGGACUUAUGGCGCAUUAGCUUGUUGGUAGGGUAACGGCCUACCAAGGCGACGAUGCGUAGCCGACCUGAGAGGGUGACCGGCCACACUGGGACUGAGACACGGCCCAGACUCCUACGGGAGGCAGCAGUAGGGAAUUUUCGGCAAUGGGGGAAACCCUGACCGAGCAACGCCGCGUGAAGGAAGAAGUAAUUCGUUAUGUAAACUUCUGUCAUAGAGGAAGAACGGUGGAUAUAGGGAAUGAUAUCCAAGUGACGGUACUCUAUAAGAAAGCCACGGCUAACUACGUG